AUCAUCUUCUUCUUCGCCCGAGGACGUAGCACACCACCCUGGUGUGUGAACUUCGUUAAAUCUCUGCGUCGUACGGAUCUAUUGUCUCUUUAUUAUUCGUGUUUCUUGGUGUUUGAUCUAACACUCUUGCUGACAAUCUUGCCGGUGCAAGUUAGCCGAUUUCUUCCGAUGAUCUUGUUCUUUAUGUUCUUGGAGGAUUGGGUCCCGAAUAUAUGUCACUGGUUACGGCGAUCUCCACUCGCUAUGAUCCGAUUCAUCUUGAUGACCUAUAUGGUUAUCUGCACAGUAAGGAAUUACGAAUUACAGAAGCUAGUCUUCCCCAAAUUGAUAAUGCUUCAUUAUCUGCAAAUCUAUCUCAAGCUCGCUCAUCCAACAAAGAUCGAUCAAAUUCUGAUCAUUACAAUUCCUUUAGCAGAGGUGGCUUCUCUCAGAAUUCUAGUUCCCGAUCAAACCAAAAUUUUGGUUCUCAUGGUCGUGGUCGAGGCCGUGGUCGUUUUUUCAACAAAGGUGGAACAUAUCAGAGUCCUGGUUACCGAUCUCCUACUCAGUUCCAUUCGAAUGCUUCAGAGCAACCUUGGCUAACUUGUCAAAUCUAUGGGAAAGAAAACCAUUCUGCCACUACCUAUUGGUAUCGAUAUGACAACCAAGGCUCUGGUUCUCCCUCUCCACUGUAGGGUCUUCUUGUUCAACAUAACAAUCCCUUUUAUGCUGCAGAUCAAGGCUGGUGUCCGGACUCUGCUGAAUCACAUCACAUUACUUAUGAUCUAGCAAAUCCUGAGCUUCAAGGUGCUUACCAUGGUACCGAUUAGUUACAUGUUGGUAAUGGCGCAGUUCUUCAUCAAGGAUUCCAUCACAAAGAAGAUCCUUCUCCAAGGUCGAAUGCAUAAUGGGCUCUAUCAGCUUCUUCCUGCUUCCUUUUCUUCGCACAAAUCAGCUCACAUUGGGGAACGGUACCUUUGUCUGUCUGGCAUAGUUGCCUUGGACAUCCAGCACCGAACGUGAUUCGAAUUUCGAAGCAUUGUUUCUCAUCAUCGUCUUCCAUUUCACAGUCAGCCUCCAAUCAAUAGUGUUUGCUCUUCGUAUCAACUUGGCAAAUCUCACAAACUUCCAUUCAAAAGGUCCUCACACUACAGCAAACAAUCUCUUGAUCUUGUGUUUUCAGACAUUUGGGGGUCUGCUUCUGUAACAUUUAAUGGUUUUCGAUAUUUUGUACAUUUUUUAGAUGAUUACACCAAGUUCACAUGGAUUUUUCCCAUUA